AUUGAACGCUGGCGGCAGGCUUAACACAUGCAAGUCGAGCGGAGUGAUGGUGCUUGCACUAUUACUUAGCGGCGGACGGGUGAGUAAUGCUUAGGAAUCUGCCAUUUAGUGGGGGACAACAUUCCGAAAGGAAUGCUAAUACCGCAUACGUCCUACGGGAGAAAGCAGGGGAUCUUCGGACCUUGCGCUAAAUGAUGAGCCUAAGUCGGAUUAGCUAGUUGGUGGGGUAAAGGCCUACCAAGGCGACGAUCUGUAGCGGGUCUGAGAGGAUGAUCCGCCACACGUGGACUGAGACACGGCCCAGACUCCUACGGGAGGCAGUAGGGGGGAAUCUUGGACAAUGGGCGGAAGCCUGAUCCAGCCAUGCCGCGUGUGUGAAGAAGGCCUUUUGGUUGUAAAGCACUUUAAGCGAGGAGGAGGCUCUCCUAGUUAAUACCUAGGAAGAGUGGACGUUACUCGCAGAAUAAGCACCGGCUAACUCUGUGCCAGCAGCCGCAGUAACAC
rnacentral:rRNA from 1 species